AUAUCAUCAUCUGUACGAGGGUUCCUUUCAACUGCACAAGGGUUUCUUUCAACUACACGAGGGUUUCUCGUUAAAACCUCUAAUUUCAAACUAGAUAAACUAAUCCUUUGACAUUGGAAAUUCAUGAUCAACCAUGAUGUUAAAGAAGUGGAAAAUAUGGGAGAAAUUAACAAUGCCAACAUACAAUCCAAUCACAAAUAUUUUAAUAAACUUUCUAUAACAUACAUAUAUAUACAUAUACAUACUUCAGCAUGUAUAUCACCGUCGCCUCACCCAGCUCAUGUGCAACCCCAACAUCGCGCACAUAGUUGAAGUCAUCGUGUGCACCCCCACAUAGCGCACAACUAUGUCAACCUUCGCACUCCCACACCCUGUCAUUACCGACAUGUGCAUCCCCUACAUAGUGCACAUGCACGGUUAUAUUCAUUACACAAUAUUAUCUACCAAUGUACUAUACAUAUAUAUAUCAACAUAUAAACGGAUUUCACAAAUUCAUUACAAUCACAUUUCGCAACGCAAGGAAAACGUUUCGUUAAAGGCUUGUUCCCGUAUGCAAUUUGAAGAAAAGAUAAUUUAAACAAUUCAAGUGAUUUGUUCAAACAUAUGCACAUCUACCCAAAACCUUUUAGUGCAGGUUCACUCACCGGUAUUUGUUAAAUCUUUACCCAAUUCCAACUUCCUCUGAUGGUCCAAAUGGGGCGAUGGAGCUUCGUUGGAACCUAUCAUCAUAAUAGCAUCAUAAUUAACUCAAUUCACAUAAAUAUAGUUCUAGAAGCUAUCUCCUAAAUCAUGUUCUGCUAGUUAUUCCUGACUAGUUUCCAACUACCAUUAAGUGGCUAUCUAUUUUCAUUAUUCAAAUCACACUAAAAUGAAUAAAUCACCUUAACUACAAAACACUCACAGAUCUAACCACUAGCCAUUCUUAACAACUAAAAAUAUCAACUCAAUUUCAAUACUCACCUUGUUAGAUUUGUAAUUGGAUUCCCCCUUAAGAAUUCCCAAACUAUUAUAAAGAGUCUUUUUUUCUCUCUCUAAAACACCUAACUAGUGAGAGAAAGUAUUAGUUUAAGACUUUGGAGGGUUUUUAAGGUGAAAGAGUAAAAUAGCAUAAAGGGUUUGUGAAAAGGUGCACAAAAGCAUGAAAUUCCAGACUAACUUGAGAGAGUUUUGGAAGCUUGAAGAGAACUCCCAUGGAGGAUAAAGAAACG
rnacentral:lncRNA from 1 species